rnacentral:lncRNA from 1 species
AUACCUGAACAGUUUCUACAUGGCCAAUAGAGAGAUCUUGCACUUAUGCACAUGCAUGUCCACACACAGGUACCCCCUCUGAUGAAGGGCUUGUCAACAUAAGAAAUCCCAGAGGAAAAACGCCCAUAAUGAGGAAUUCACAGAAAAUACACCAGAGCACCUGUACUGAGAGGGAGAAGGUGGAGGAGCCUGUGUGCAUACCCUGCUUCCCCUGCUGUUACACAGAUUCUAAACACAGGUCUGAGCACAAGCUCGAUGGCAACUCUCAGCUCCGUCUGCCGGGGCUGCAGCUCCAACGCUCCUCACCAUCCUCCACCUUCUCCUCCAAAGUAACAAAGCCAUUGGAUUUCCUCCCACCCCUUCCCUGCGCUCCCCCUCCCCCUCGCUGGCACCGGGGUUAUUUAUACAGAAUGUGGAAACAAUUUGCAGGAAAGUGAACAAUGUAAGCGGGAGUGAGGGAAGGGAGACAAGUUUGUUGUGCACACUGAGAGCCCCAGCGGUGAAACGCUGCUUUUUGGGGGGCUGAGAGAACAGACUGUUUUCCUUUCUUCCUUCUCCUCUAUUUCACCAUCUCCCUCAGCUCUUUCCAUCUUGCCAGAGUCGGGUCCAAACCAGAGCAACCAGAUCUGAGUGCGUGUUUUGGAGGAGGUUCAGGUUGGAUCCCUCCCUGCAUCCCAGCCCCGUGAGGCGGUGUCUGUGUACUUAAUCCUCUCCGAGGUUCUGCUCUCCAUCGUUGCUGCUCCUGGAUUAGCAUUAAUGAGGAGCAUGUGUGCUCAGAGGUCCCGCUCCAGGCCCCCAGAGCUGCAGCACUGGGUUUAGACACAGCUACUCUGAGGAACAGUUCAGCUGAAACAGAACCAUUCCUGGGAGUGAACGAGGCAGGAACUUUUUGCAAAGUCUAAUUUUGGUCUUUCUCCCCUCACCCACUGAGUAUUACAUUUUCAGGACAUCCCAGCACCUUGCUGGCUCCACUGCGAGUGUCUGGGAAUCAGGGAGUUUACCUGAGUUCUGCUGGGGCUGAGGAAGCUGAACCAGCACUGACUCAGCACUCAGAGCAGAUCUGGGAUCUUCAGCUGGCACUCUGCACCAUGAAGUCCUCAAAAAGAGGUAAUCCCAACCCACACACCAUUUGGGGA